rnacentral:rRNA from 1 species
UGGGGAAUAUUGGACAAUGGGCGCAAGCCUGAUCCAGCCAUGCCGCGUGAGUGAUGAAGGCCUUAGGGUUGUAAAGCUCUUUCGGCGGGGAAGAUAAUGACGGUACCCGCAGAAGAAGCCCCGGCUAACUUCGUGCCAGCAGCCGCGGUAAUACGAAGGGGGUUAGCGUUGCUCGGAAUCACUGGGCGUAAAGCGCACGUAGGCGGGUUGCUAAGUCAGGGGUGAAAUCCUGGAGCUCAACGCCAGAACUGCCUUUGAUACUGGCGACCUUGAGUCCGGGAGAGGUGAGUGGAACUGCGAGUGUAGAGGUGAAAUUCGUAGAUAUUCGCAAGAACACCAGUGGCGAAGGCGGCUCACUGGCCCGGUACUGACGCUGAGGUGCGAAAGCGUGGGGAGCAAACA